rnacentral:rRNA from 1 species
UACGGGGGGAGCAAGCGUUGUUCGGAUUUACUGGGCGUAAAGGGCGCGUAGGCGGCCUGUGCAAGUCAGUUGUGAAAUCUCCGAGCUUAACUCGGAACGGUCAACUGAUACUGCUCGGCUAGAGUGCGGAAGGGGCAACUGGAAUUCUUGGUGUAGCGGUGAAAUGCGUAGAUAUCAAGAGGAACACCUGCGGCGAAGGCGGGUUGCUGGGCCGACACUGACGCUGAAGCGCGAAAGCCAGGGGAGCGAACGGG